GCGCCCGCGCCCCACCGCGCCCCUCGCGAGCAGCCGGGCCCAGAGCCCCAAACACAGGGAGAGGCUCCUCCCCGGGAACCAUAUAAAUUAAGUGUAAGAGACUUCUUAUUGGUUGAAAACAGUGAAAAUAAUAACAAUACAGGGCAGCCCUGGUGGCUCAGCGGUUCAGCGCCGCCUGCAGCCCAGGGCGUGAUCCCAGGUCCCGGGAUCGAGUCCCGCAUCGCGUCGGGCUCCCUGCGUGGAGCCUGCUCCUCCCCCUGCCUGUGUCUCUGCCUCUGUCUCUCUCUCUGGGUCUCUUAUGGAUAAAUAAACAAAACUUUAAAAAUAACGAUAACAAUACAUUAUACGGUUUUGCGAUCAACAGCAGUAAAACGUACACAAAGAUAGAGACGCGGGGGAAGUGGAAGUAGGUGGAAGAUGGAGGCCCCUACAGAAACCCCGCGGGCCCGAGCCCCUGCGGCCACAGCCCCUCCCGGAGCACGGACCCCCCUCAAGGGACCCUGUGGGCGUGCAGGGAGCAGGGGACCCUCGGCCCGGGCAGUCAGUGCCUCAUUCCCCGGGAGGGGGGCCUGUCAUUAGGGCCCCGGGCAGGGUCUCACCUCGCUCGGCCCGCAGCCCCAGACUCAACCCUGCUGCCAGAGGCCGCCCAGCUGGCUGUGGCUGCUCCAGGCAGGCACUCGCAGAGACCCUGCCCUUCCCUUGGUCUGGGGCCCCCUGCGGUCCACACCUCCCUCCGUGUCUUUCUGUGACCGGCAGCAGGCGGCUGGGGAGGGGGCUGGUGGCCGUGCCCCUCACCGCAGCCUCUGUGACUUAACCGGGCACUCAAAGCUGUACCUCCCUCUGGAAUAGGUUGAGUGGUGGCCCCCAGACAUACUCCCGCCCAGAACCUGUAACUGUGACCCUGUUUGGAGAUUCUUUGCAGGUGUAAUUAAGGAUCCCAAGAUGAGAUCACCCUGGAUUUAGGGCAGCCUGAAGUCCAUGACGAGUGUUGUCCUUGGUGGAGAAGAAAAGGCGAGAUGAUAGAGGGGAUGGCCACCUGAGGGGAAGGCUGACGCUGCUGCCGUGCAGCCACAGCCAGCACAUGCUGAGCACGGCCGUCGCCCCCAGGAGCUGGAGGGGGUUCCCCUUGGGGCCCCCAGGCUGUGGGGACAUGGGUGUCCCUUGUUGAGCCAUCUGCUUGAGGCAACCCCAGGACACCAGCAUGGCCCACUGGUAGCUCACAAGCCUUCAGGCCAAAGAUGGGAGCAGUGGCUGGAAAUGAGGGCCAGGCUCCUCACUGAUUCCCUCUCCUAAUGGGGCAGGGGAACAUUCUUACCUCUGGGACGCACACCGGGGCUGGACGGAGAUGGAGGACAUAGGGAAGUGUUGUGUUGCUUCCCAAAGCCCAGCUCUCUAUCUCUAGGAGGAAAAUGACAUCUAAUGUUUUAACAACAUAGGCCACAGAAAUGCUUCACGGAGCCUCAGGAUACCCUGUGUGUCCCCGUGAGCCGAGGAGGGUCUCCAUGGUGGGGGGGCGGGUACUCUGCGAGGUGUCUGGGGCUAUGAUGGGUUAUUAAGGGUUUUCCAAAAUGGGUGGAAAUGCUGCGCAAAGCCGCCUGUGGGGAAGCAAGGUGGUGCAGAGGCACGAAUGGGACCGACUGAGCCACUUGUGUCCGGGUGAUGAGUCUCCAAACAACGUUGAGCAUCAGACCCAGGUUGCAGAAGCACACCUCUGGUGUGAAGCGGUUUACACGAAGCUCAAAACGGCAAACGGAGCACGGCUGUUCGGGGGCAGGGAGAUGUCAGGCAGGUACCCCCAGGAAGCUGAGACCCUGCCCGGGUGAUCAAUAAUAUGAUCAGAAUCAGAAAGGACCAGCCGACAGCCCUACCAAGAAACAGAGUUGCUGCACCUCACAGUCACUGCGUGAGCCGCUGCACCUCCAAAGCAGGUCUAUGAGGGAGGCCACGCUGGUGUCAUCAAGAGCCAAGCCCCCGGACAAACACGCGUGUCAAACGAGAGCUUCGUGCUUGUCCACGGAGAAGCAUCGGAGUCAAGCUGUGUCCUCAGCGCUCAGAGCGGCUGGGUCGCAGGAGCGAUCGGCAGGUGACGGGACAGCCGUGCCACGAGGCGGUUCUGACCCCUCCGCGUCCACCAUGGCUGUCCGGCGGCCCUGGGAGCGUCCACACUGCGGGCCGGCUCCCCCUCCCCGACCUGUGGCUGCCUCCACACCUGGACAUCGGCAGUGUCACAGAGGGGAUCAGGACUCAUGUUCGCCGCACUCCACGGAUUCCCUGAAAACUGUGUCCAUCAGAAUGAAAUAAAAACACGCAAAACCUUCUAGAACAAAGCCUGUUGGAACGCUCAUUGAGUGAGUCAGAAUAACGCAGAGGAGAGAUAUAAUUUUAGCCUUCUUUAAAAAAAAAAACAAAAAGGAAGCGUCAAAUGCCAAGCCAUUCACUCCACUUUUAGCUCCGCAUGAUGAAUAAAUAAUUUAGUUCAGCUCAUGCACCACCUGCUUAUUUCUAUUUUAGUGAGCAAGCAGGCGUUAAAUGUGUGCCGUCACGUAGCAGAAUUCUCUUCUGGUGUAAAUAUUGGUUAAAUAUCACUUACAAACAUGUUCAUCUUUGAGUAGCUGACUCUGGAGACGUGUGUCUGAUGCUGAAUGAAAACAUCAGAAAGCAGAGCAGGGCCUGCU